rnacentral:rRNA from 1 species
CGACCGCUGGCGGCGUGCUUAACACAUGCAAGUCGAACGAUGACGACCGAGCUUGCUCGGUCUGAUUAGUGGCGAACGGGUGAGUAACACGUGAGCAACCUGCCCUUCACUCUGGGAUAACCUCGGGAAAUCGGGGCUAAUACCGGAUAUGAGCUCCUGUCGCAUGGCGGGUGUUGGAAAGUUUUUCGGUGAAGGAUGGGCUCGCGGCCUAUCAGUUUGUUGGUGAGGUAGUGGCUCACCAAGGCGAUGACGGGUAGCCGGCCUGAGAGGGCGACCGGCCACACUGGGACUGAGACACGGCCCAGACUCCUACGGGAGGCAGCAGUGGGGAAUAUUGCACAAUGGGCGAAAGCCUGAUGCAGCGACGCCGCGUGAGGGAUGACGGCCUUCGGGUUGUAAACCUCUUUCAGCAGGGAAGAAGCGAAAGUGACGGUACCUGCAGAAGAAGCGCCGGCUAACUACGUG